ACCUCCUCUUCUUCGCUCUCCUCCUGUACGGUGGGAGUCUGUGUGUUUUCCUGAAUGUUUGAGACGGCUUCUCCUUGCACUUUGAAUUUCUCGGCGGCUGCCAGCUGCGCCUGCUGGGACAGAUCUUCGAUCUGGGGGUUGGGAAAAGCACACGUCUAAACUCCAG